AUGCACGCUGGCGGCGUGCCUAAUACAUGCAAGUCGAGCGAACAGACGAGGAGCUUGCUCCUCUGACGUUAGCGGCGGACGGGUGAGUAACACGUGGAUAACCUACCUAUAAGACUGGGAUAACUUCGGGAAACCGGAGCUAAUACCGGAUAAUAUAUUGAACCGCAUGGUUCAAUAGUGAAAGACGGUUUUGCUGUCACUUAUAGGUGGAUCCGCGCCGCAUUAGCUAGUUGGUAAGGUAACGGCUUACCAAGGCAACGAUGCGUAGCCGACCUGAGAGGGUGAUCGGCCACACUGGAACUGAGACACGGUCCAGACUCCUACGGGAGGCAGCAGUAGGGAAUCUUCCGCAAUGGGCGAAAGCCUGACGGAGCAACGCCGCGUGAGUGAUGAAGGUCUUCGGAUCGUAAAACUCUGUUAUUAGGGAAGAACAAAUGUGUAAGUAACUAUGCACGUCUUGACGGUACCUAAUCAGAAAGCCACGGCUAACUACGUG
rnacentral:rRNA from 1 species